UGCCAGCCGCCGCGGUAAUACGGAGGGUCCAAGCGUUAUCCGGAUUUAUUGGGUUUAAAGGGUCCGUAGGCGGGUCAUUAAGUCAGUGGUGAAAUCCUACAGCUCAACUGUAGAACUGCCAUUGAAACUGAUGACCUUGAAUAUAAUUGAAGUGGGCGGAAUGUGUCAUGUAGCGGUGAAAUGCUUAGAUAUGACACAGAACACCGAUUGCGAAGGCAGCUCACUAAACUAUCACUGACGCUGAGGUACGAAAGCGUGGGGAGCGAACAGGAUUAGAUA
rnacentral:rRNA from 1 species